GAGGGAGGUGCCGUGGGGGAGGGAGUGCCGGCGCCACGCUCAGGCGCCCCCCUGCCGCCGGCGCGACGGGACGGGCUCUGCGGGGUGCGAGGUGGUGGCUGCUGCGCGCUCUCGCUCUCUUUUUUCUCUUUUCUUUGUUCUCUUUUCUUUUUUCUUUUCUUUUUCUUUUCUUUUGGUGGCGUUUUGAGAAAGCAGAGAGGGGGAAAGCAGGGAAGAGGGGCGCGUGGCUGAAGGCGAGGGAGGCGAUGGCUGCGGUUGGCGGCCGUCGGGCCCGCGCCCGUGCGAAGCUGCGCGGGGCACCCGGGGCUUCAAAAUCUCCCCAAAAGAGGAGAGCUGAGAAGCGGGAGGUCGCUGGGGAUGGAGGCAGCCGGGCGAGGGAGGGCACGCAGCUCUGCCCUGUCCCGGCUAGGCCGGCCGGCGCGGUGAGGAGCCCGCGGCGAGGUGGCAGUUGGGUGUCCUGUAACUGAGGCGCCCGCAUGAAGGCCGGCUUUCUCGUAGGGCGUUUUUCUUUUACUGUCCGUAAUGAGAACUUGCGUUCAGCAGACUCUUUGGGACUUGCUUUACUUUAGACUAUUUACGUGGUACUGCAUGAUCUCACACUUGGUGAUCAUCACUCUAUUUGGUGGUGUCUCCCAAGCCAUGUUGCUGGUGGUGGUGGCUGCGCAUAUUUCCGUCUGCGCUGUCCUGAGAAGCAUUUCUGGUGUUGAACAUUAAGCACUAUCUAAUCUUGUUUUGUAGAUACAGCUUCUUGAAUAACAGGGUGUGUAUACGUGCAAAUUAAAUUAAUCCACAUUCUUACACUCUUGCCUCAUUUUCAGGAAAAGUGACUUCAACUUAAGUAAUAAGGAUUUGGUUGUGUUAAUAUAGUCAGAUUCAACAAAAUGCUUCAGUGCCUGCAUAGAUCUUUUCUAUUCAAGAUGGCAUUUAAGCUUAUGCUUAAAACUAAAUGCUUACUGAAAUCUUUCAUUUCAAAGGAAGUUAAGACCUUAGGAACUAUCUUGAAUGGUGUUGCUUCUAGAAUUGGAAGUACUUAAUUUUCUCUGGCCAAAUGUGUCGUAUGUAGGGGCAUAGUCCAGGUGACAAUAAUGGGAGUUUUGCCCUUGUAAGACCACAAAACAAAUAAGCAAUAAUAGAAUAGGCUGAAUUUAAUGUGUACUCAAAAUCGACUUUCUUCUGAACUGCUUCAGAUGUCUUCAUGUAAAAUUAACACAUUUCAGUCACCAGACAAGAAUGAACAUUCAAUAAAAACAAAACCGAAGAACACGUUUCUUAUUAAAAGUCCAUUGUAAGAUGCUCUCCCAAAACAACACUGAGAUUGGGUUCUCAUGCAUCAAGCACUGCAUUGUUUGUUCAGUGUGGACUGUAGCAUAUUUUGAACAGGGACCAUGUGUCUUCUUGUGUACAGUCCAAUAACAGCAGUUCUUUUACUGCUCCACGUAGCAACUUUUUUUUUUCUUUUAUUACUAACCCUGUCCCAGAAAUACUGCUCUAAGCUGUGCCUUUUUAAUUAACUUCCUUCUUUUAUUUAAUGGUAUACUAGUGUUUCAGGGUUUUUUUUUUACCUGCUUGUGUUAGUUAGGAUUCAUACUUCUAAUGUGUACAUCUUUUAAUCUUUUUUCGUCUCUAUUGGUAUUCACAAUCCCUUCUAAUUAAUUUUACCAAUGUUUAUAUACCAAUUAAUUUAUGUUCUCUUUACUUACCCUCAAAACACUAAAAAUGAGUUGUUAAAUAAAACUGAACCACUUAUUCCACUUCUUUCAGCAUCCUGCUUCUUCCAGAACUUUAUUCAUUGAAAUAUAACAUUACUGUAGAGAGGCUAAAUCCUAGUUUUCUAUAGACAAUCACCUCUUGGCUAAAGGAGAUGCAGAAGACCGAACUAUUUACUUCUUCCAAGUCAACUUGCAGUAUUCACAGUAUUUUUCAGAACAUUGCAUCUGUAAUAAGUGGCUUCAGAUGGUGGCUACUCACUGUGAUGAAUCUGGUAUCUGUGAUUUCAUCCCAACCCUAUAUAUCUCAUCACUAUGUAGAAAGAGCUGCAAGAGAAUGUGUUCCAUGAUGGGCAAGGCACUAGCUAAGCAAUAUUCACUGGUGUGAAGAAACAGUUUCUUUCAAAAAGCCUUCAGUCUAAAACUCUAAACAUAGCUGAUCAAGUGCUACUGUUUGAGGCUGUACCUAAAAUUAAUAUUCAAAUUAUGUACCUGCCAAUCUACCCUAUAACCUGCUCUGUUAUCCAGAUGUCCACAGAAAUGGGCAAAGGAGUACACCAAAUGGCCUCUUGAUUCACCAAAGCCACAUGCUCAAGCGAUUUAUAGUUACAUUCUGCCCUGAGAUGCACACAUCAUUCUGAAAUAAAUGUGUACAUGUGUACCAUGAGAAAGAAACUGAGCUCUGACUUUUUUUCCUCAUUAUAUGAAACUCAAGCACAUACACUCUUCCUUGAGUACAAAAUGGAAAAAAGUAAAAUGUGUUGGUGAGUUUUGUCAGAGAAUUUCUAUGAAUAUUAGAAUCCAACAUACUGGGCAUGAUAGAAGUUGACAUGAAAUAGCUGAAGAAAUCUAAAGAUUAUUUCCUAUUAGUGCUCGUCCCAAAAGUGCAUCAUUUUUAGGAAGGAGGGCAGAGCAGGAAGAAGAGUACAGCCCUGAUCAGAAGCCAAAAGGCUCCUAUGUGAUUCACUGCUUCAGGUGUAACCUAGUUUUAUGUGAGAAUGCUACUGCAGUCCUCAAUAGAGAAGACCAGGAUCCUUAGAAACUGCACAUAUAUUUAACAAGAUUCACCUCUGAUUUGCAACAAACAGCAAAAGGUGAUGUACAUCUCCUCUUACAUUUUUUUCCAUCAUAUUAAUAAAGAAUAAGAAGCAAAUAUGGGCAUGAACAAGAGGAAUAAGCAACAUAUCUACAACGAUUUGUGAGCUGGUUUUGUAUUUUUGCUAAUCUGAUUACAAAAAAUCUGAGUGGAAGAUCAACAGACUGAAUAUAAAGGCAUUUGUGCUGAGGGAUAAAAGAGUAGGAUUUUCUACCAAUUUUCCUCCUCUGCCCUUUUCUUUCUACACUGUAAACAAUGGUAUUUCCAUAGGUAUUUCCAUAUUCUCUUGUUCUUCCCUUUAACAGUAUCUGGUUUCUUCCCAAAAUUUCAGCAUGUUCUUUCUUAUCCUUUGCUUUUGAGCUGUAUACGUGAUUGGAUUCUGCUGAUGUUUGGGAGGAAGUGAUAAAUUGUUGCAAACUUCACCUUUGCAUUAUCUAGAGCAGGGAGAAUGUAAAGAACUUGUAUCUCUAGUUAGCACAAAUUUCUGUACAUCUCUUGCAUUUCUGUUUGGUUGACAGUUCUUUUCUUUAUGGCCAUUGGUUAGAGUAUUAAAUUCUAAAUGUAAAAAACUAGAUGCGAUUGUCCUUUUCCUUGCCAUAUUUGGCAGUUCCUGUACAAAGAAUUCUGUUGGGGGUGUAGAAUUUUUUUUAUGCAUUUUUAAAAGAUAUAGUUAACAUUACAGCUUAUGCAGUGGUGGUGAAUGAGUUGCUUGGUACCAUGUCAUAAAUGCUCCAAAAUAAAAAGUUUUGUUACAGUUUUGCCUUCCCUGCUUCAGCGUUUCACAGCUGUAAUUAAGGUCAGCAUUAAGUGAAACUCCACAGAUUCCAUAGAAUUUCUAAACUCUGCCCUAAGAGUUCUGUCUUGCAGAAAUUCCUGGAACUUCUUUCAUAUUGCGUGCAGUAUUUGGUAAAUCUCUGACUGACUUAACAGUGCAUUAAAAAGUUAACCAAAGCAGUAACAGCAAAUUCAGCUCUGAAUAAAAUAAAUAGUUGCAGAAAUUGAUUUAGCUCAAAAGCCAUCAGUUACACUCAUUUUUUUCCUCUAGAAAUUUAACAAGGGUUUUAGAAUUGGAAAUGUUUUGUUUUCAUCCUUAUCUGUCUUCUUUUAACCUCUCAAGCCCCUGGGUAUAGCUGAAGCACAGCAAGUUCAACAUAACAGAUGGAGAUUUAACAAACAAGAAAAUUAUGGCCUAUGUGGGUGAAAUGCUUUCUGUGAUAUUUCAUAUAAAUCUUCCCUUUUGUCAAGUUUUAUGAGCAAAGCUCUUUAGUUUUAACUUGCUUUUUAAAGCAGUUUGGGUGUGGACUUGAAUAUAUUUCAAAAUAACAACAGAUCUCAACAAAUGCUACUUGCUGCAUAUUACUAUUUUUAUAUGUGCUUUAGAAUUUCUGAAGAUGUAAAUUCAUUUAGAAAUAAUCCUUAUUAAUCUUUGAAGAGAGUGUUCAUUGUAUUUGACAAAAAUUGUUUUGCAGAAAAUUAGGAGAACAGCCUGAAUCUUUGCCUUAUCUCUUGAAUGGUUUAUGAUUCAAUCCCACUGCAUGAAUAAGCUUUGCCAACUGUUUUGUUUCUACCAUAAAAGCUUUAUAUGUAUAUAAACAUAUAGAUAUAUAAAAAUAUAUAUAUGGGGGUGUGUUUAUAAGUAUAUAUAUGUGCAAACAUACAUAAGUAUAUACCAUAUUUCUUUCUUGUUGGUUCUGAAAGCUUGGUGCUGUUGAAUUAGAUAAGCUUGAAUAGAAACACACUGGAAGAAUAGUAAUUCAAGAUACUCGUUUUCAACAGGCAAAGGAGCUUUAUUAAGAAAAGGAGAUAAAAAUGUUGUGUCAUAGCUUUCAGAAAUGUUGUUGUAGGCUUCAAAGACAAAUACACUUAUCUGGCUACAACUGAACGUGUGAUGACAAGCGUGACAACAAAUCAUCAUGUUGCUUACUGUGGCUCAAGCCAGUCUAGUCUUUCUUCUGGAAUGAUUUUUUUAUACUACUGCAAUGCAAACGUACAUCUGAUAGUGUUACUGUAUUAUACUCUGGAAAAAAUGAAAUCUGCCAGCAGUCAUCCCAAUAUCUACAAGACAUUGCUUCAUACUUGUGCAAAUCUCUGCAGUAUAAUUAGAUGAACUCUGCAAAUGCCCCAUAAAGCGAGAAUUAAAAUAUAGACCAGGCGGAACAAGGACAGGCUAAUGCUAGUGCUGGGAAAGCAACAAGAGACUGCAUCAAAACUCUUGAUCUGCAGCAGCACUGCACUUUAUAUGAAGAAGCAAUUCCUCAAAAGAAGGAUUUACGUUUCUGCUGAUCCUGUUGUCAGAUGACAGAAGAAUAUGGGUAUGAACAUUUCCAAAAAAAUAUUUGUCAACUGGGAAAAAGAGACUAUAACUUCAGGAGGAAAAUUAAAUACUUAUUAUGCAUUUAUUUAAGAA